UUUACAUUUGAGUGAGUGGCGAACUGGUGAGUAACACGUGGGAAACCUGCCCAGAAGCGGGGGAUAACACCUGGAAACAGAUGCUAAUACCGCAUAACAACUUGGACCGCAUGGUCCGAGUUUGAAAGAUGGCUUCGGCUAUCACUUUUGGAUGGUCCCGCGGCGUAUUAGCUAGAUGGUGGGGUAACGGCUCACCAUGGCAAUGAUACGUAGCCGACCUGAGAGGGUAAUCGGCCACAUUGGGACUGAGACACGGCCCAAACUCCUACGGGAGGCAGCAGUAGGGAAUCUUCCACAAUGGACGAAAGUCUGAUGGAGCAACGCCGCGUGAGUGAAGAAGGGUUUCGGCUCGUAAAACUCUGUUGUUAAAGAAGAACAUAUCUGAGAGUAACUGUUCAGGUAUUGACGGUAUUUAACCAGAAAGCCACGGCUAACUACGUGCCAGCAGCCGCGGUAAUACGUAGGUGGCAAGCGUUGUCCGGAUUUAUUGGGCGUAAAGCGAGCGCAGGCGGUUUUUUAAGUCUGAUGUGAAAGCCUUCGGCUCAACCGAAGAAGUGCAUCGGAAACUGGGAAACUUGAGUGCAGAAGAGGACAGUGGAACUCCAUGUGUAGCGGUGAAAUGCGUAGAUAUAUGGAAGAACACCAGUGGCGAAGGCGGCUGUCUGGUCUGUAACUGACGCUGAGGCUCGAAAGUAUGGGUAGCAAACAGGAUUAGAUACCCUGGUAGUCCAUACCGUAAACGAUGAAUGCUAAGUGUUGGAGGGUUUCCGCCCUUCAGUGCUGCAGCUAACGCAUUAAGCAUUCCGCCUGGGGAGUACGGCCGCAAGGCUGAAACUCAAAGGAAUUGACGGGGGCCCGCACAAGCGGUGGAGCAUGUGGUUUAAUUCGAAGCUACGCGAAGAACCUUACCAGGUCUUGACAUACUAUGCAAAUCUAAGAGAUUAGACGUUCCCUUCGGGGACAUGGAUACAGGUGGUGCAUGGUUGUCGUCAGCUCGUGUCGUGAGAUGUUGGGUUAAGUCCCGCAACGAGCGCAACCCUUAUUAUCAGUUGCCAGCAUUAAGUUGGGCACUCUGGUGAGACUGCCGGUGACAAACCGGAGGAAGGUGGGGAUGACGUCAAAUCAUCAUGCCCCUUAUGACCUGGGCUACACACGUGCUACAAUGGAUGGUACAACGAGUUGCGAACUCGCGAGAGUAAGCUAAUCUCUUAAAGCCAUUCUCAGUUCGGAUUGUAGGCUGCAACUCGCCUACAUGAAGUCGGAAUCGCUAGUAAUCGCGGAUCAGCAUGCCGCGGUGAAUACGUUCCC
rnacentral:rRNA from 1 species